UUUGCAGCAGAAACACCCUGCUAAAGAACAAGUAUCUUGGUUCACAGCAAAGAGGACAAAGGAAAACAGCAAGUUAUAGGGAGUUGAAUGCUGGAUUGGGUGUCCUCUGAAAGGCCACAUCAACUGCAUCUCAGGACCAUAGACAGUUGAGGAAGAGGAAGGAUUUAUUUGUUUUGCUGUUGUUGCUGACCAUCGGUUAAAAGUUUGCUGUACUGGGACUUAACUCCCCAGAAGGUCCAGACUGCAACUGUGGACACUAAAUAAGACCACUCACACCUCAGGGUCAACAAAGAAAUUCUGGGUUGCACAAAGGAAAGCAUGAUAUCCUGCCAAUAAGACCAAAUAAGCCAGUGUUCACCUGCAGAGCUCAGCGAAGCAGUGCACCCAGGUGGAUACUGAACUAAGAUAAAGGCCAAGGAUGAGGUGGAGUGGCAAAGAGGGGGAAGAAAGAGGGAAGGAAGACAUAGUUUCAAAGAAAAUCAGCAGAAGGAAUUGGCAAAAUGGAAGACCUUAAA